AAGAAUUUCCAGCAUCCGAGCUGGAUGGAAAGCAGACACGUAGGACGGAAGGAAGUCACGCUUGUGGCCAGCUUGAAAGAGCUUUUCCAGGCGCGAACCGGUGUUAGUUGGUGCACCGAUGCGGCACAGGAAAUGGCCCAGCUUAUAACCCCUUACAUGGAUGGUCUCUUCGCCGAUGGAUUGCUUGAGAAGAUCGUCGAUCUCUUGGGGGAACCAAGGAGCUGAUUUAUUAUGUGUUGACGAACAAUCGAGCACUUGGGCCACCGAAACAUCAUCGGCAAGUAUUGGACUUGUUCGAGAAUAUUCGGCCGCUCCAAGUGAACUGCCGUGGGGAACAAUUUAUUGUGAAGAAAACUCCCCACCCGGUUUCCACAUUCUGCUACAAAUCAACACCAAAUCCGACUUCCUUAGUCUGCUUCUGCACAUCAUCGACAAAGCCUGUUCCCUGACACCUUCCCACCGUUUCCCGGACGCAAAAAUAUUGAGAAGACCUCCCUGUGUGCGCUACAGAUCCUGCACCGGGCUCUCAAAACACAGGAUGGUGAAUUUUUGGGCUUCGAAGCAGCCAAAAACUGACACGUAGCAGUCGGAAAUGGUGUUUUACUGCAGUAUCCGGAACAGCCUUCGAAGGACGGCAAAAAAGGCCCGGCAAAAAUUAAAAAGAUCAAGAAAAGCCCGUUCGCAGAUGAAAAGGAAAAGUCACAGGAAAAGCUUUUGGCAGCCAACCCCUUGAUCAACGGCACCGAACACGCAGGCCUUCAUAUAGCGCUGAAAAAGAUAAUCAAACUUGACCCAGAACAUCGGCGAAAUUACGAGCAAGCAUCUCAGUUUGGCCAGGCUGUGAUACAGUGUCUACCGGAGGAAUCUGUAA